CCGACCAUCUCAUAUCUAAAUUUUGUUUCAUAAUGCCUCACAAAUAUGCAAACAACAAUAUUUUUAGCCUAUAUUUAGGCUAACAUGAAACUAAUCACACAAUUAAUCACGUUUUUUUAAUUUCACGUUGAAUAUUUCCUGGAUUGAUUAGGGAAAAAAAUGUUUAAUGAAAAUUGACUUACCAAUUCAAAUUAUCUGAUCAUCUCGUUCGAUUCCUUAAUUAUCUUUAUGAUAAGGUAACAUCGCCUGAAACACAGAUUUGAAAAAAAGAAGGUUAUUAUUUCAUCCACAAAUGAGCUACGUGCCUAUAUUGCGUACUUGUGAGAAAAAAAUUGUAAAACAAAUUCAAUCGCAAAAUAAUUUUUGAUCCAGUACCACAAAAAUUAAGCAUGGAAGCAGAUGAAUAGACAAUCACCAUCGGAACCGGUAUCGAGACCCCAGCGCACCCAGAAACCAACAAAACGCACCCACGAUAUGGUUUUUCAAACGGUUCGAGAUGAGUUAUAUGAUUCUUAGGAUACCUAGCGAUUAUGCAUGGAAUGGAAUAAAUGUCAAGUGUCCGAAAUCAAGCUCGCUGCUAUGAUCACCGAUCGAGUAGGGUAAGACGAAUUCCACAAUGAGACGAUUUUUUUCUGAAGAAGAAAACAAAACUAAUACCUACAUCAUUCGGCUUAAACGGUUCUCGAAGAAGCCGAGGAGACAAUCAAAACUGAAAUCUAGCGGAUUUUGGAUAUGUUGAAGGGGGCACCAUUACAAAUUCAAAAAGCCUGCUUGAUACAAUUUGGCAUGUACCUACAAGCUAUACAACUAACACCCCUGCGGUAUUUUGGAAUUUCGUAAAUGUUGGCGCUUCUAGUGGCUUUAAAAAGCUGAAAUGUCUAAGAUGGAUUAUUUUUAACGACUUGUCUGGGUGCAUUAUAUAACGGUUGAAUAAAUGAUACCAGCCUUGAAGGUUGCGGAGAGCGAUGCCAAAUGCAAAUCUACGUAUUUCUCGACAGAGCCACGAAUUUCUCUGGCGAGACGAGAUUUACUAAAAGACACGAAACACCAUAUAUCCUAUAAGAAAAUUUCAUAGAAUUGUUUUAUCGGCAAUGAAAAAACUGAAAA